rnacentral:lncRNA from 1 species
UUUACUACUUUACUACUCAGAUAAUCCCCAUUAACAUUUUAAUAUAUCUCUUUUUGACAAAAACAUAUACAUUACAUAAACUAAAUAUGGGAAAUCUUUUAAAAAUACAACUUUUUAGCAGAGGUGUAAAUAUAUAGGCUUUGUUGUUGUUAUUGCUGUUUUAAUAUUUAUUUUUUAGUUGUAGUUGGACACAAUACAUUUAUUUUAGUUUUUUAUUUUUAUGUGGUGCUGAGGAUUGAACCCAGGGCCUCACAUGUGCUAGGCAAGCACUCAACUUCUGAGCCACAACCCCACCCCCCUUGUUGUUGUUUUUGAGAUUUAUUUUUCCUCCUCCUUUUUCCCCAAUCUCAUUCUUUCAAAUUAUCAAUAUUGUCAACUUGGUGAAUGUCUCUGUAAUUUUCUACACAAACUCAUAUGCUUAUAAUCACAUAAGCAUUAAAAACAUACAGAUCUGGGCUUAGUGGCACAUUCCUACAAUUCAAACUACUUGGGAGGCAGGAGGAUCACAAGUUCAAGAUCAGCCUUAGCAACUUAGUGAGAUCCUGUCUCAAAAUUUAAAUUAAAAAUGGACUGGGGAUAUAGCUCAGUGGUAGAGUGCCCUGGGUUUAAUCUCCAGUACCACAAAACAAACAAAAAACAUAGGAUGUUUUAAAUAAGGGACAUAUUUACGACUCAUGCCUUGUUGAUGGGACUACAAACAAGGUACAACCACUUUGGAAAGCAAAAAUGGAGAUUCCUCAAAAGAUCAGAAAUGGAACCACCAUAUGAUUCAGCAAUCGAACUUCUUGGUAUCCUAAAGAACUAAAGAACUAAAAUCAGCAUACUAUAGUGAUACAUGCACAUCAGUGUUUAUAGCAGUGUAAUUCACUGGAACCAGCCCAGAUGUUCAUCAACAGAUGAAUGGAUUAAGAAAAUGUGGUAUAUAUAAACAACAGAAUUUUAUUCAGCCAGAAAGAAGGAUGAAAUUACAGCAUUUGCUGGUAAAUGGAUGGAACUGGAGAACAUCAUGUUAAGUGAAAUAAGCCUGACUUGGAAAGUCAAGGGUCAAAUGUUUUCUCUGAUAAUUCGAAGUUAGACCAAAAUAAGGAACAAAAGCAGGAGUUGGGGAUUCCAUGAGAAUAGAAGGGAAAUCAGUGGAACAAAGAAAGGGGAUUGAGGGAGAGGGUGGAGCAACUGGAAAAGGGAGGAAUGGAGGAAUGAAAUUGACCAGAUUGUGCUAUGUGCAUAAAUGAAUAUACCACAAUAAUUUCACCUUUAUG